rnacentral:rRNA from 1 species
CUACGGGUUGCUCCAGUGGGGAAUAUUGCACAAUGGAGGAAACUCUGAUGCAGCAACGCCGCGUGGAGGAUGACACUUUUCGGAGCGUAAACUCCUUUUAUAUAGGAAGAAGAUGACGGUACUAUAUGAAUAAGCGCCGGCUAACUCCGUGCCAGCAGCCGCGGUAAUACGGAGGGCGCAAGCGUUACUCGGAAUCACUGGGCGUAAAGCGCGUGUAGGCGGAUUAAAAAGUCAGAAGUGAAAUCCUAUAGCUUAACUAUAGAACUGCUUCUGAAACUCUUAAUCUAGAAUAUGGGAGAGGUAGAUGGAAUUUCUGGUGUAGGGGUAAUAUCCGUAGAGAUCAGAAGGAAUACCGAUUGCGAAGGCGAUCUACUAGAACAUUAUUGACGCUGAGACGCGAAAGCGUGGGGAGCAAACAGGAUUAGAUACCCGGGUAGUC